UUCUGCCCAUGGUAUCUAAUGUCCUGAAUUAUUUUGUUUCUUGACAUCUCGUUUUAAGGGCACAAAUUAACUUGGGAAACAGGUCUUGCGACACAGAUAGCUUCUGAAUAAUAAGCUUUCUGUUACUUUAAUCCUGCUUAUAUAU